UUAACAGCUGUGGCCACCUGACUUAUCACCUGGAACUGCCGUAUACCAUCCUAUCACAACCGUUUGUGGCACAUGCAAUUGUAAAAACAUAUUGUCAAAGAAUAUGCAGUAACUGCUCUUUUGUUCAGGAUAAUUCUCCAGCAUGUAUUGCAAGAAACAUAACACAAACAUUAAAAAUUGAUUUAAGGAAACACCACAGAGGACACCAUCAUGCUCAUCGGAACCACAAUCCCAAUGUCCAUGAAGAAGACCAACUCCAGCAAAACAGGACAGAUCCUGUGCAGUUGGGGCAUAAUACACAUAAACACCACCAAAAUCAUCACCAUCCCCACCAUCAGUAUGACCAAUCUAAUUCAGAAUCAGAAACGCCUGACAUGGUAGCAGGUAAUGGCUCACCACAACCGUGAAUAAACAAAUCAAACUGUAAGAGAAAGUUCAAGUGAAAGCCUGAAGGUAUGUCAGAGUUAGCAGGAAUCAGAUGAUGAUGAUACUGUCGUCAGCUGUUCAGUGACAAGUCCUCUAAUAACGAGGUGACAUGACACUGCAGGACACAAUCAUCAUCCUGACAAUGACAGGAACAGGGACGUGUAGACAGCCUCAUUGAAUCCUGACAGUGACGCUUGAUCCCUGCUCUCUGACCACAAGAUCAGAUGAGCCAAAGGCACUGAGGACCUUGACAAGGAGUUAAAAGCAGAGAAUGACGAGAUGGGUUGAAGUAAACACUUCAGUUGGAAUGUAAACUGCUGUCUAUUUUCGUAAAGCUUUGAAACUCCAUGUUGAAAUUUAGCUGUAAGGUUCAGUCCAACCCCUCUUUUCCAUCUUGAGGGCUGAUUUGCUGCCAAACCAUACUCUGAGGCUGAUCAGUAUAAGGUACCGAUUAGUCCUUUUCACUGUUGCUUGUUGUCCCAAUCCUUGUGGUUGCCACUAUGAGGACAGCAGCACAAACUAUCCUGUAGGAGCUGCUAUUUGAUGUAAGGCAAAUGCAAAGGGAAGAUAAGUGAAGUUGAGAAGCUAAUCUGCAUUAUAUCCAACAACGUUUUAACCAGUUUGAUGUGUUGGUACUCUCAAUGCAUCAUAUUUUUUCCCACAAAAAUUUUGAGAUAAAAGAUUCUCCUACGUUUUAUCUUCCUCUGAUUUUUUCAUUUCAGUUAUAACAAGUAAGAACAUUUUAAAGAGAAAUUAGCAAAUAAUUCCUCAAUUUUUUUGUAAUUAAAUACAGCCAGUGCAAACAGGAGGUUGGGGGUCAUAAACAGACAAGUUGCAAUCCCAAUUCACACCUACUCUCCUCUCUAAUUCAAAAUGUGGAUAACAAAGACAUCCUGUAUUAAAAUUAGGGAGUAUUAGCUUUUAGUGUUAAGAGAAAACCUGAUUAUGUAGAAAUGAAAGAUCAUUUGGAAGCAAACACCAUAUUUCAUGAUGGUUACCAGGGAAACCACUUACCCUAGUUCACCUGAAUUCCUGUAUGGUAAAUGUUAGCAAAUUAGAUUCUCUGGAAAGUCUGUAGUGCACUGGAAGUGUUCUGUAAGAAGAUUUUAAUAAACAUUCUGUUUUCAAUAA